rnacentral:pre_miRNA from 1 species
UUAAUUUAAAUUUGUAUGGAGUUGGAACGUUUGCCUAUGUUUGCCGCUACGGGCACUGUUCCAGCUCCAUACAAAUUUGACUUA